rnacentral:rRNA from 1 species
AUGAACGCUGGCGGCGUGCCUAAUACCUGCAAGUCGAGCGAACAGACGAGGAGCUUGCUCCUCUGACGUUAGCGGCGGACGGGUGAGUAACACGUGGAUAACCUACCUAUAAGACUGGGAUAACUUCGGGAAACCGGAGCUAAUACCGGAUAAUAUAUUGAACCGCAUGGUUCAAUAGUGAAAGACGGUUUUGCUGUCACUUAUAGAUGGAUCCGCGCCGCAUUAGCUAGUUGGUAAGGUAACGGCUUACCAAGGCAACGAUGCGUAGCCGACCUGAGAGGGUGAUCGGCCACACUGGAGCUGAGACACGGUCCAGACUCCUACGGGAGGCAGCAGUAGGGAAUCUUCCGCAAUGGGCGAAAGCCUGACGGAGCAACGCCGCGUGAGUGAUGAAGGUCUUCGGAUCGUAAAACUCUGUUAUUAGGGAAGAACAAAUGUGUAAGUAACUAUGCACGUCUUGACGGUACCUAAUCAGAAAGCCACGGCUAACUACGUG